CAGCAGCCGCGGUAAUACGAAGGGGGCUAGCGUUGUUCGGAUUUACUGGGCGUAAAGCGCACGUAGGCGGACUUUUAAGUCAGGGGUGAAAUCCCGGGGCUCAACCCCGGAACUGCCUUUGAUACUGGAAGUCUUGAGUAUGGUAGAGGUGAGUGGAAUCCCGAGUGUAGAGGUGAAAUUCGUAGAUAUUCGGAGGAACACCAGUGGCGAAGGCGGCUCACUGGACCAUUACUGACGCUGAGGUGCGAAAGCGUGGGGAGCAAACAGGAUUAGAUACCCCCGUAGUCCCUGUCUCUUAUAU
rnacentral:rRNA from 1 species